AUGACUGGCCCGUCAGAUUCGUCCUCUACCAGCAAUCUGGAGAUGCAGUCCUUACAACUUGAUGUCCAAACACUGCAGAAAAAUCGAGAGCAUGACAGACAGGACUUUGAGGAUUUCGGGGACCAUGUGCAAGACAAUUUCCAGUCCAUGCAAAAAACUUUAGGGGAACUACAGGGCACACUUAAAAAAUUUAUCUCAGGUUUUUCCAAGCCACGAGAAACCCCACCCAAUCCCCAAGAUGUCCCUCGGGGCAGUGGCCAAAAUUAUACACCGCAAGGCCCAGUUCUUCGGCCAGUCAAUGGCCUCCAAACCCCUCCUACUGCAGGUUCUGUAACCUUGGUGGAUAAGCACACUGGAAAAGAACUCAACUUGGAUGGCACCACCAAAAUUCCUUACAGGCACCCCCACUUUGCUGACAACAGACUUCCUCCACAUGAUGCAAGAGCAACUACUGCAAUUCCUCAAACAGGAAACUUGCAAGAAAUCACUCAGAUAGAGCAUGAGCAAGGUGAGGAGCAGGCUCAGCAACUAGCUGGCAGAGGGGGUAUUGUACAGAGAGACCAAGUCCAAGACAAGAAAAGACUUCUGACUCUGGUGAAACCUGCUAAGUAUAACAUACCAGAGUUUGAUGGCAGUGGAACUGACUCAUGGAUACAAAUCAUUGAAAUGUACUUUGAAGCUGCUAGCACACCACUGGAGCAGAAAAUUGAAAUUGUUGUCACUUACUUAAAGGGACCAGCAAUAGAAUGGUGGAGAGGAACUGGAAUUAUAGCCAACACACUACCUUGGUACAGGUUUUGUAGGCUUAUUGGGGACAGGUUUUCAGAAACCUCAGUAUGUGACGAUGUCAGAACUUUUCAUGCCCUCAACCAGACUGGCUCUGUCAAUGAUUAUGUGCUAAAAUUUGAACAGUCCAUGAACUUGCUCAGAAGGGACAACCCUGCUUUACCUGCUGAUUACUACAAAGCAAGUUUCAUUGCUGGCCUGAUUGAUACUAUCCAGCAUUAUGUUCAAUGCCAUGAACCAGCUGACUUACAAAAAGCUAUUUGA
rnacentral:rRNA from 1 species